GAUGAACGCUGGCGGCGUGCCUAAUACAUGCAAGUCGAGCGAAUGGAUUAAGAGCUUGCUCUUAUGAAGUUAGCGGCGGACGGGUGAGUAACACGUGGGUAACCUGCCCACAAGACUGGGAUAACUCCGGGAAACCGGGGCUAAUACCGGAUAACAUUUUGAACCGCAUGGUUCGAAAUUGAAAGGCGGCUUCGGCUGUCACUUAUGGAUGGACCCGCGUCGCAUUAGCUAGUUGGUGAGGUAACGGCUCACCAAGGCAACGAUGCGUAGCCGACCGGAGAGGGUGAUCGGCCACACUGGGACUGAGACACGGCCCAGACUCCUACGGGAGGCAGCAGUAGGGAAUCUUCCGCAAUGGACGAAAGUCUGACGGAGCAACGCCGCGUGGGUGAUGAAGGCUUUCGGGUCGUAAAACUCUGUUGUUAGGGAAGAACAAGUGCUAGUUGAAUAAGCUGGCACCUUGACGGUACCUAACCAGAAAGCCACGGCUAACUACGUGCCAGCCGCCGCCGUAA
rnacentral:rRNA from 1 species